UAAUGCAAGUCGAGCGAAUCUUUGGGAGCUUGCUCCCAUUGGUUAGCGGCGGACGGGUGAGUAACACGUGGGCAACCUGCCUGUAAGACUGGGAUAACUUCGGGAAACCGGAGCUAAUACCGGAUAAUCUUUUUCCUCUCAUGAGGAAAAAUUGAAAGUCGGUUUCGGCUGACACUUACAGAUGGGCCCGCGGCGCAUUAGCUAGUUGGUGAGGUAACGGCUCACCAAGGCGACGAUGCGUAGCCGACCUGAGAGGGUGAUCGGCCACACUGGGACUGAGACACGGCCCAGACUCCUACGGGAGGCAGCAGUAGGGAAUCUUCCACAAUGGACGAAAGUCUGAUGGAGCAACGCCGCGUGAGCGAUGAAGGCCUUCGGGUCGUAAAGCUCUGUUGUUAGGGAAGAACAAGUACCGGAGUAACUGCCGGUACCUUGACGGUACCUAACCAGAAAGCCACGGCUAACUACGUGCCAGCAGCCGCGGUAAUACGUAGGUGGCAAGCGUUGUCCGGAAUUAUUGGGCGUAAAGCGCGCGCAGGCGGUCCUUUAAGUCUGAUGUGAAAGCCCACGGCUCAACCGUGGAGGGUCAUUGGAAACUGGGGGACUUGAGUGCAGAAGAGGAAAGCGGAAUUCCACGUGUAGCGGUGAAAUGCGUAGAGAUGUGGAGGAACACCAGUGGCGAAGGCGGCUUUCUGGUCUGUAACUGACGCUGAGGCGCGAAAGCGUGGGGAGCAAACAGGAUUAGAUACCCUGGUAGUCCACGCCGUAAACGAUGAGUGCUAAGUGUUAGGGGGUUUCCGCCCCUUAGUGCUGCAGCUAACGCAUUAAGCACUCCGCCUGGGGAGUACGGCCGCAAGGCUGAAACUCAAGAAA
rnacentral:rRNA from 1 species